GAGAGGACGGAGGGGGCCGGCGGGGCGGGGCGGGGUAGGGGGGUGUGAGCGAGCCGCUGGGCGUCAGCCCCCCGUGGAAAUGGAAGGAGACCCGAGUUCCGCCAGUGGAUGUGGUCCUUGCCUCAGCGUUUUCGCCUGUAGAAAUAAUCCCGUGUCGAAGAGGAAAGGUGAAGACGACAAAUCAGAUAACAAAGGGAAUCUCCAAACAAACCCAAGCAUGAGAAGCCUACCGUGAAUCAUCCCCACCAGCAGCAGCGAGGUGUUGUGCGGAUUGCCUCGCAAGGGAGAAAAUAACAGCUUCCUCAGUUUCACGUUUCUCACGUGCUAACUUAAAACCUAAAGUGAAGGCACCGAGCUACAAAAAGUUUAGUCUUUUUGUAGUGGCAUCAGUCUGAGGUUUAAUGUGUGCAACGCCCGACAUGCACAGUUACAGCUAGGCUGCUUUACUCUUCUGGACUGCUGUUGUCAUUUGGGGGGGGUUCACAUGCUCAGUCUGAGAGAGAUGAAACUCUAUGCAUCGCCCACCAAAAACCAAACUAGAUAUACAGGUUUCUAGCAGCAAGCCUGUUCGUGGCAGUCUCCUCUGUUGGUUGGGAAAAAACAAAGAUCCACGCUGGUUUUUUUCUUCCACAUUGUAACAGUGAAGAGUGAAACAGACUACGAUAAAAAAUAGUUCAGUCUAGACAAAUGUAAACAACACACGCCUUAUAAAUAUUUUCCUUGAUGUCAAGGAGAUAGAAGCCUAGAUUGAUGAGCUUCUAAAAGGCCCACAUGAUAUUUUGCGUGCAGUAACAGCAGGUCAAGAGCAAAGAAACUAAGGCUCUAAAUCCAUAUACGAGCAACUGUUGCAUCAGUUUUAUUCUUUCAGCUCAAGCUCGCACACUAAUGAAAACGCUUUAGUAUUUCACUAUACCCGAAGUAUUUUGUUUAGAUAUCACAGAGAUGGCUCCAUCUGUCUCUGCCUUUCAACUCGUUCGCGUAUUUGGCUUGCAUGAAGUAUGAUGUUUUCCCACUGCAUGGGUGCAAAAACAGAAUUCACUUAGACUGAAGAUAAAAGAAACCAAACAGACACUGAGCCCCAGGGGAAAAAAAAUGCAUGUGCACUUGAGAAACAGAGGUGUGAACAGAUUCAGGGACAAAACAAAACUGCCAUCUCCAGAACAACCCUGUGUGGGAAUACCAAGAAUGUAUUUAUACUGACUUGUGAAAUGCCCUAUAUGUUUUAUGCUCCUCUAUAAAAAUAUGUGAGGACAGGUAAGAUCCUGUGUAGGGUAACAAGAGCUAUAGUAUCCUUUUCUUCUCCUCCUUUGUCUUCUCUUUUUCCCCCUUCAUCUUCUUCUUCUUAUUUUUCUUCUCCUUAUUCUUAGUUCUUCUUUUAAACAGUGUUAAUUUAUUGUUACAAUUAAGCAUAGCAGCUCCAUGUAAUUUCUUGCUUCCCUUCCAUAUUUAUUGUUAUUGUUCUUCAGGUCUGACUAAGCUAUCUCUAAGCCUUAAGCUUCCUCUCAGUUACAUGCUUUUACAAUUUUGAUAAGUUUCCAGGUUGAUUUGGUUGAGUUAACAUUAUUUGUAUGGUGGAAAAAGCCUUUGUUUAUGCUUGCCAAGCUAACUGAAAUCACUUCUCCGUCUUGCCGUUCCACAAAUUAAUGUAAGAAAACAUGGUGACAUCCAUCAGCUAAAGCUGAACUGUACAUGCAGAUACAAAGACAGCAAGCUAGGAGAUUAAAUGAUAGGCAGCAUACUGUGCCAUUAACAGAAGCGAUACACAGUCACCUUAUCUUGAAGACUGAAGAAAUACAAUGCAGUGAAAUUUGAUGGUGAUAGCUCGAGGUUCAGCUUUGCCAUUGCUUUAGAACCUUUUCUUUGUCUGGAGCACUGGUGGAGGUGGUCUUAAGCUGUAGAGCACACGCUGCCUGCUGGAAACUACGAGCAGGUCAGUGGCUGUAACGUUCUGUAAGGAAUGCCACUAUCAAACAAGAGAUGGAUGGCUUCAGGCAGGGCAAAGCACAGGAUGGUGCAGGAGAAAGCCUGUUGGCUGCUGCUGUGAAGCAUCGUAUUCCUGGCAUGUGUGUUCAUAGCCAGUGACUGAGCUGCCAAGCCCUGUUCUGACACCCUUGCCCUAAAUGGCCAACCAGCUGGGGCAACACCUGUAAACUUGGCAGCAGCAUCAAUACCUCUGAGAGGAGCAUUGGUUGAACCUCCCAGUGAGAUACCUGCAGA